rnacentral:tRNA from 1 species
AAUGAAUUGCCUGAUAAAAGGAUUACCUUGAUAGGGUAAAUUAUAAAAAUUUAUAUUUUUAUUCAUUA